GGUUAAGCGACUAAGCGUACACGGUGGAUGCCCUGGCAGUCAGAGGCGAUGAAGGACGUGCUAAUCUGCGAAAAGCGUCGGUAAGGUGAUAUGAACCGUUACAGCCGGCGAUGUCCGAAUGGGGAAACCCAGUGUGAUUCGUCACACUAUCGUUAACUGAAUACAUAGGUUAACGAGGCGAACCGGGGGAACUGAAACAUCUAAGUACCCCGAGGAAAAGAAAUCAACCGAGAUUCCCCCAGUAGCGGCGAGCGAACGGGGAGCAGCCCAGAGUCUGAAUCAGCUUGUGUGUUAGUGGAACGGUCUGGAAAGUCCGACGGUACAGGGUGAUAGUCCCGUACACCAAAAUGCACAGGCUGUGAACUCGAAGAGUAGGGCGGGACACGUGGUAUCCUGUCUGAAUAUGGGGGGACCAUCCUCCAAGGCUAAAUACUCCUGACUGACCGAUAGUGAACCAGUACCGUGAGGGAAAGGCGAAAAGAACCCCGGCGAGGGGAGUGAAAAAGAACCUGAAACCGUGUACGUACAAGCAGUGGGAGCACCUUCGGGUGUGACUGCGUACCUUUUGUAUAAUGGGUCAGCGACUUAUAUUCUGUAGCAAGGUUAACCGUAUAGGGGAGCCGCAGGGAAACCGAGUCUUAACUGGGCGUUAAGUUGCAGGGUAUAGACCCGAAACCCGGUGAUCUAGCCAUGGGCAGGUUGAAGGUUGGGUAACACUAACUGGAGGACCGAACCGACUAAUGUUGAAAAAUUAGCGGAUGACUUGUGGCUGGGGGUGAAAGGCCAAUCAAACCGGGAGAUAGCUGGUUCUCCCCGAAAGCUAUUUAGGUAGCGCCUCGUGAACUCAUCUUCGGGGGUAGAGCACUGUUUCGGCUAGGGGGUCAUCCCGACUUACCAACCCGAUGCAAACUACGAAUACCGAAGAAUGUUAUCACGGGAGACACACGGCGGGUGCUAACGUCCGUCGUGAAGAGGGAAACAACCCAGACCGCCAGCUAAGGUCCCAAAGUCAUGGUUAAGUGGGAAACGAUGUGGGAAGGCACAGACAGCCAGGAUGUUGGCUUAGAAGCAGCCAUCAUUUAAAGAAAGCGUAAUAGCUCACUGGUCGAGUCGGCCUGCGCGGAAGAUGUAACGGGGCUAAACCAUGCACCGAAGCUGCGGCAGCGACACUAUGUGUUGUUGGGUAGGGGAGCGUUCUGUAAGCCUGCGAAGGUGUGCUGUGAGGCAUGCUGGAGGUAUCAGAAGUGCGAAUGCUGACAUAAGUAACGAUAAAGCGGGUGAAAAGCCCGCUCGCCGGAAGACCAAGGGUUCCUGUCCAACGUUAAUCGGGGCAGGGUGAGUCGACCCCUAAGGCGAGGCCGAAAGGCGUAGUCGAUGGGAAACAGGUUAAUAUUCCUGUACUUGGUGUUACUGCGAAGGGGGGACGGAGAAGGCUAUGUUAGCCGGGCGACGGUUGUCCCGGUUUAAGCAUGUAGGCUGGUUAUCCAGGCAAAUCCGGAUAAUCAAGGCUGAGGUGUGAUGACGAGGCACUACGGUGCUGAAGUAACAAAUGCCCUGCUUCCAGGAAAAGCCUCUAAGCAUCAGGUAACAUCAAAUCGUACCCCAAACCGACACAGGUGGUCAGGUAGAGAAUACCAAGGCGCUUGAGAGAACUCGGGUGAAGGAACUAGGCAAAAUGGUGCCGUAACUUCGGGAGAAGGCACGCUGGUGUGUAGGUGAAGCCCCUGCGGGUGGAGCUGAGACCAGUCGAAGAUACCAGCUGGCUGCAACUGUUUAUUAAAAACACAGCACUGUGCAAACACGAAAGUGGACGUAUACGGUGUGACGCCUGCCCGGUGCCGGAAGGUUAAUUGAUGGGGUUAUCCGUAAGGAGAAGCUCUUGAUCGAAGCCCCGGUAAACGGCGGCCGUAACUAUAACGGUCCUAAGGUAGCGAAAUUCCUUGUCGGGUAAGUUCCGACCUGCACGAAUGGCGUAAUGAUGGCCAGGCUGUCUCCACCCGAGACUCAGUGAAAUUGAACUCGCUGUGAAGAUGCAGUGUACCCGCGGCAAGACGGAAAGACCCCGUGAACCUUUACUAUAGCUUGACACUGAACAUUGAGCCUUGAUGUGUAGGAUAGGUGGGAGGCUUUGAAGCGUGGACGCCAGUCUGCGUGGAGCCAACCUUGAAAUACCACCCUUUAAUGUUUGAUGUUCUAACGUUGGCCCCUUACCGGGGUUGCGGACAGUGUCUGGUGGGUAGUUUGACUGGGGCGGUCUCCUCCCAAAGCGUAACGGAGGAGCACGAAGGUUAGCUAAUCCUGGUCGGACAUCAGGAGGUUAGUGCAAUGGCAUAAGCUAGCUUGACUGCGAGCGUGACGGCGCGAGCAGGUGCGAAAGCAGGUCAUAGUGAUCCGGUGGUUCUGAAUGGAAGGGCCAUCGCUCAACGGAUAAAAGGUACUCCGGGGAUAACAGGCUGAUACCGCCCAAGAGUUCAUAUCGACGGCGGUGUUUGGCACCUCGAUGUCGGCUCAUCACAUCCUGGGGCUGAAGUAGGUCCCAAGGGUAUGGCUGUUCGCCAUUUAAAGUGGUACGCGAGCUGGGUUUAGAACGUCGUGAGACAGUUCGGUCCCUAUCUGCCGUGGGCGCUGGAGAAUUGAGGGGGGCUGCUCCUAGUACGAGAGGACCGGAGUGGACGCAUCACUGGUGUUCGGGUUGUCAUGCCAAUGGCACUGCCCGGUAGCUAAAUGCGGAAGAGAUAAGUGCUGAAAGCAUCUAAGCACGAAACUUGCCCCGAGAUGAGUUCUCCCUGAGACUUUAAGUCUCCUGAAGGAACGUUGAAGACGACGACGUUGAUAGGCCGGGUGUGUAAGCGCAGCGAUGCGUUGAGCUAACCGGUACUAAUGAACCGUGAGGCUUAACCUU
rnacentral:rRNA from 1 species